rnacentral:lncRNA from 1 species
CCUCCCAAACUCGUCUUCCACGUACCCUCUUUCUUCGACCUCUCAAACCAUCCCCUACCUCCCAAACUGAUUCCUCGCCAACCUCCCCAAUUUUUUCCAACCCAAAGAAAUUUAAAUAUAAAAAUCACAAAUUCAUAAUAUAAAUUACACAUUCUCAAUAUAAAUCAAAUUCACAAUAUAAACCCCAAAGCCAUAAUAUAAUUACAAAUUCAAACAUAUAAAUCACAA